UCCGACCUCACAUCGGAGGAGAUUACCCGCUGACUUUAUGUAUAUCUCUAUGUGGAGGAAAAGAAAAUAUAUAUAUAUCCU
rnacentral:rRNA from 1 species